rnacentral:rRNA from 1 species
UACACUCCUACGGGAGGCAGCAGUGGGGAAUAUUGGACAAUGGGCGCAAGCCUGAUCCAGCCAUGCCGCGUGAGUGAUGAAGGCCCUAGGGUUGUAGCUCUUUCACCGGAGAAGAUAAUGACGGUAUCCGGAGAAGAAGCCCCGGCUAACUUCGUGCCAGCAGCCGCGGUAAUACGAAGGGGGCUAGCGUUGUUCGGAAUUACUGGGCGUAAAGCGCACGUAGGCGGAUCGAUCAGUCAGGGGUGAAAUCCCAGGGCUCAACCCUGGAACUGCCUUUGAUACUGUCGAUCUGGAGUAUGGAAGAGGUGAGUGGAAUUCCGAGUGUAGAGGUGAAAUUCGUAGAUAUUCGGAGGAACACCAGUGGCGAAGGCGACUCACUGGUCCAUUACUGACGCUGAGGUGCGAAAGCGUGGGGAGCAAACAGGAUUAGAAACCCCUGUAGUCCCAUG